rnacentral:rRNA from 1 species
UACAGAGGUCCCAAGCGUUGUUCGGAUUCACUGGGCGUAAAGGGUGCGUAGGUGGUUAGGUAAGUCCGAUGUGAAAUCUCCAGGCUCAACCUGGAAAUGGCAUUGGAUACUAUCUAGCUUGAGGAGUGGAGGGGGGACUGGAAUUCUCGGUGUAGCAGUGAAAUGCGUAGAUAUCGAGAGGAACACCAGUGGCGAAGGCGAGUCCCUGGACAACACCUGACACUGAGGCACGAAAGCUAGGGGAGCAAACAGG